rnacentral:rRNA from 1 species
GACGAACGCUGGCGGCGUGCUUAACACAUGCAAGUCGAACGGAAAGGCCCUGCUUUUGUGGGGUGCUCGAGUGGCGAACGGGUGAGUAACACGUGAGUAACCUGCCCUUGACUUUGGGAUAACUUCAGGAAACUGGGGCUAAUACCGGAUAGGAGCUCCUGCUGCAUGGUGGGGGUUGGAAAGUUUCGGCGGUUGGGGAUGGACUCGCGGCUUAUCAGCUUGUUGGUGGGGUAGUGGCUUACCAAGGCUUUGACGGGUAGCCGGCCUGUGAGGGUGACCGGCCACAUUGGGACUGAGAUACGGCCCAGACUGCUACGGGAGGCAGCGGUGGGGAAUAUUGCACAAUGGGCGGAAGCCUGAUGCAGCAACGCCGCGUGCGGGAUGACGGCCUUCGGGUUGUAAACCGCUUUCGCCUGUGACGAAGCGUGAGUGACGGUAAUGGGUAAAGAAGCACCGGCUAACUACGUG